rnacentral:rRNA from 1 species
AUUGACGACCAAAGCGAAGGUGAAACACCCGUUCCCAUUCGAACACGGAAGUUAAGACCUUCAGCGUAGUGGUCUGUACUAAUGCGAGAGCGUUGGGAAAUCCACUGCGUCGUCAGCC